AAUAUAGUUACCGUAUAAUUCAUCCCUUUGAUCCAAAUGCUCAAGGUGACCUAGGGUUUAACUGCCAACCCUAAUAUGGUCAUCCACAUUGUAUUUCAAUUUUCAAAAUCCAUCACAUGGAUUAUCCCAGCUAAGGUUUUACUGAAUUGAAAUACACUGAUAUAUUAACUCCUACUUAUUCGGAGGGAUCAAUUCUAUCUUGACUCACACAUCGAGUUCACAAGUACUUGACUAUGUCCAGAAACUUUUCAUCACUGAAUUAGAAAUUCAGAUAGUUCGGCACCAAAGUAUAGUGAGUUGCUUGCAAGUCACCGUGGUAAUCU
rnacentral:lncRNA from 1 species